AUCUCACAGAUCCCCUGAAAGAUUUUGGAGAAUUUCCUGAUUGGCACUUUGAAAACUGCUGCUGUAACCAAUUCUGUGAUGACUGCUGACUUGAUGUAAGGUGUGCUUAAGACACAGACAUCUACAGAAGGAAGACCAUGUGAAAAUACAGGGAGAAGAAAGCUAUCUGUAAGCCAAGAAGUGAGUAAGGCCUCAGAAGAAAGCAAAGCCUGCCAACACCUGGAUCUUGGAUUCUGGCCUCCAGAAUCAUAAGAAAAUACGUUUCUGUUGUUUAAGCUACUUGGUCUGUGGUACUUGGUUACAGUAGCCCUAGCAAACUCAUAUGAUUCUUUGAUGAGGGGAAAGAACUGUUGAAAGCAUUUAGUUAUAAAUAAUGAAUCAGGAAACAAAGGGCCAAUAAUGACAUAAUGAACUCCUUAAGCUGGGGUUUCCAAGGAUUGACAGUGUGAGUCUCCAUACACCAUACUCUCUAGAGUGCUGGGGGAAAGAAAACCUCCUCCAGUCAUUUUUCUCAGAGUGUCUGAGUUCAAAGAGAAUUCUCUGCUGCAGUGGUCUGUGUGGCUUCCUAAACAGGGACAUGGCCCUGGGCUGCAUGCCCAGAACAAUACAAGAUUGGCUGCCUGUCAUUACAAGAAACAUUUAUUGACUGCUUAUUAUAUGCCAGCUACAGUCUACUUACUUUACAUGAACUUACGGAUUUAUUCUUCAUGAUAAUCUUAACAAGUAGCCACUGCUAUUCUCCAUUUUGCAGAUGAAAUACUGAGGCUCAGAGACUUUGCCCAAGGUAACACAGCUGGCAAGUGGCAGCACUGGGAUUUAAACUCAGCCAGGCUUACUCCACAGAUUUUUUUCUUAUCUUCCAUGGUAGACUGUACAGUCCAAGCCAGGGAAAAGGCCUAGAUUGAGAGAGCAAAGUACAGCAGCAGCUAUAGUGUGGCUUUCUUGGGCUUAGGAGAGAAACAUCUUUAUGUUCAAGGUUUUACAAAGAAUUCUUCUGAAGACUUUGAGUCUACUUUCUGACCUGGCACUUCAAUUCAGCUCAGCACACAUUAAUCGAGUGCCUCUUAUGAUCUAGGAAUCCAUGCAAGGCACGAAGCACAGAAAGACAGGCCUAAACUAAACCUGUGUGCCAGAGGCUAAAUUCUGUGCAUGAUCAUUUCUGGAACAGAAAUGUUCGGUGAAUAAGUGCUGUACCAGCUGCUUUAUGGGGAGUCUCCUUGACUACUAGAAAUAGAAUAAAGAAAGCAAGGUGGAACAUCUGGCAACGUUAAGUGUCAAAAAUCCAUUUUCAAAGCCUUUUGUCAUGGGGGUUCAAGGGAAUAAAUAAAAGCGUUCUUCUAAGUCCUGGUAUGAUUCUAUAUGUUAAGCAGAAGUUGUGAUUUAUGAAGAAGAAGAAGACUUGAAUCGACUAGGUAACCUAAACA
rnacentral:lncRNA from 1 species